GAUGUUUAUCCUUAUCGAGGUUAUUUCUCACCUGAAACCUUUGUCGGAUCUGUAAUUGGUGGCACUUUAUUUGGAUCACUCAUCACAAACUUUAUUUUCCUCUGUGUUCUGAGAAGUAAACAAAGAAAACAGAAAAGACGAAACCGACUUUUACAUAAUCUGCAAAAUCCAGCCUAUGAUCACGGAGUUGAUAAUCAAACACAAAAUGAUCUAGACCAAGGAAAGAAAAAAAUGCAUUAUACUGUGAGAUUAAUGAUGAAAUGCUAAAUCUCCCAACGGGCUCCAAUACAACUGGGAAUAAAGAACAACAGAGCUUCACUGGACAUCUCUCAACAGGAGACGAAACUCAUGCUUAUAAUCAUUUGUAUGAAGUAGAUAAAUUAAGAAGAGUUCAUCUUCAAAACAAUGUUGCCAUGCCAGAAUCAUGUUUUGCAGACAAUGGUGUUUCCAUACCAGAACCAUGCUCCUCGGAAUUGACUGAUGAAAAAAGCUUUAUGUCAUUUAAAGCUACAGAAAUCGAAAAUUCCUCGGGAAAAGUUGACAGAGAUGAGAAAGUUGACGCAGAAAAACAAAAUAAAAGUACCGGUCAAUACUAUGUUCUUGAGAAAACAACGUAGUUAUCGACAUAAACAUAAGAACAUUACAACUGUAAUUAGACUACCAAGCAUAAAAAAGAAUUAUUGUACUUUAGAAUUAUACUGUUACUUUGAUUGGUUUGAUGCAUGUCAUGUGCAUUGAUGUAUUCAUUACGCUCAGGAUGCCAACUGCUUGGUCUCCAUUCAAAUAAUUAUGAAAUAGUGUUACUAAUGGUGCAUUGUGUCAUUUGCAUAGUUUUACUUAUCAUGAAAACAAAUGCCAUAAGUCAAAUAACUCGUAUCAUCACAUCAUUUAUAUUUGCCAUAUCGUCAAACAAAACACUCUAGAUUCAGUUCUUUUUCGCUAUAUUUUGAAAGUGGUAACAUAUAUAGAAUCAGAGCAGUGGGUUGAGAAUAGUAAGAGGCUUGGUUCAUAUUUUCUAUACUGCUAAAUGCAAAUGAAUAUUCAUCAUGAUAAUAAAACUAUUUAUAUUUACUGCAAAAAUUAUGUUGAUAUCCGAGUUAUUACUUCUUUCCAUAAUACUCUCGUCAGUAGAACGCCUUAUCCCAUUCUCAUUCAAACCCUUCAAGGUGACUCAGUCGGUAGAGCGCUCAAAUUAUAUGAUCGGCGAUCGUGAGUUCGAAUCUCGGCUGGGACUGACCUAUAUUGAUUAAAAAAAACAUUGUAGCAACUGUUUCUUGCUUGCUUGUUCCUGCUUUUCAUUCUAAAGUGAAAGUUGUGGGUCCUUCGUAUGAGACCUUAAAAACUGAGGCACCGUGUCACGGCAAGCGUUGGCACGAAAAAGUCCUCUCACUGCUUAGUACCCCUGAGUUCCAAACAAUGAUCAAAAUUUGAGACCCUUCGCUGGUAUAUAUAUAGUGGCGUCUCUAUAUGAGUGAAAAAUUGUCGAAUGGGAAUUCAAACAAUAAACAUUAAAUCAACCUUAUUCUCCUUCAACGUAGAAAAAUUCUGUAAAACAGCUUUCGUGUUCUGCUUCUUUUUACGUUUCAUAAUUUUUUAGAAUUCUCAAAAGUAUAAUUAUUAAUUAACUAUAGCAAAUAAUUUUAGCAAACACAAAAGAAGAAAAUGAGAAAUAUAUUAAUUUUAUAAAAGAAGGUAAUCCAAA